CCGGGACCCGCUGACGGCAGUUUCCCAGCCCUGUUCCCCCUCCCCUGCCCCCUCAGCCUGCGGGCAGCAGAAGGCGGCGGCCAGCCUCCUCCUGCCCCUCGGCCGGACGAACCGCGGCUGCCGCGCCUGUCACCUCUGCACCUGCCCGGCUGAGGUGAGAUGCCUGGCGCGCAAGAGACCUUGACCAUUCAGGCAAUCCCUUGCAGAUAAAGGAGAGGAGGCUACCGGACAGCCACAUGGAUUAAGCUUCAAGAAGCCAGGGAGAUCCCGGGAGAGUUAUGGAUUGGGGACAAGAGAUGCAGCAGGAAGGAUGCGUGUUGAUUUCUGCAGACCUUGGGGGCAAUUGAGUGGGGCCAGGAUGUUUCCUCACAUGCCUGUGUGUGACGCUGUGUACCCACGUAUGUGUUGUUUCCACAUUCUUGUUUGAUUCUAGAAAGGUACAUGGAUACAACGCGUGUGGGUGUACGAAGUGUAUGCAUGCUUAUGUGUGCUGCCGGAUAAACAUAUGGCUUUGUGUAGUCACACAUGAUACGUGCAUGACGCUUGUACUUAGCUUCCUAUAAAAAGUAUAUGGUAGUUGCUGAUGUACCCGUAUUUUUUUCGGGGUGCACGUUGGGGCCUCAAAACUCGCCGACUUUGGAUUGGGUUUUAUGGUGCUGCUAAGCAAUCCCGAACUCCUGAGAGUGCAGAAUGUUACCUUCCAGCAUUGCGGAAGCAAGGCAAAGGAGAGGGGCUGGAGGGCUUCCCAGGAAGCCCCUUCACCUCGCACCCAAGGCCUGUCUUUCCGCCUUGGUAACCUGAGGCAGGCUCCUCCCUCAUGCUCAGUGGGCUCAGCUCAGGCUCGAAGUUACGCAUCCUGCAUCCUGCGAAGGCAGGCAGGACCGGAGCUGGCGCCUGGAACGGCGGGCGCACCCUGCAGUCGAAGGUCGGGCUGCGGCGUUGCACGAAACGCCGUGGGGAAAGAGAAGCUGGGCCUGGGGGAACAGGAUUUCCUCACCUCUUGGGCGCGGCCGCUCCGGCCUGGCCACACAAGGCUCCCUUUGUGGAGGGGCCCUGCUCCUGCGCAGACCGAAGUCAGCGAACAAUCGCGCAAUUUUGCGGCCCGCCGGCCCCGGCUCUGCCGGCCACACCGCGGCGGCCGAAGGCGAGGAAACCGGGUGGCGCUUUUUUAUAGUCACAAAUAUAAAAUCGG
rnacentral:lncRNA from 1 species